rnacentral:rRNA from 1 species
UGGGGAAUUUUGGACAAUGGGCGCAAGCCUGAUCCAGCCAUGCCGCAUGCAGGAUGAAGGCCUUCGGGUUGUAAACUGCUUUUGUACGGAACGAAAAGGUGCCUUCUAAUAAAGGGCGCUCAUGACGGUACCGUAAGAAUAAGCACCGGCUAACUACGUGCCAGCAGCCGCGGUAAUACGUAGGGUGCGAGCGUUAAUCGGAAUUACUGGGCGUAAAGCGUGCGCAGGCGGUUUUGUAAGACAGAGGUGAAAUCCCCGGGCUCAACCUGGGAACUGCCUUUGUGACUGCAAGGCUGGAGUGCGGCAGAGGGGGAUGGAAUUCCGCGUGUAGCAGUGAAAUGCGUAGAUAUGCGGAGGAACACCGAUGGCGAAGGCAAUCCCCUGAGCCUGCACUGACGCUCAUGCACGAAAGCGUGGGGAGCAAACA